rnacentral:rRNA from 1 species
ACUUAAAUUGAAGAGUUUGAUCAUGGCUCAGAUUGAACGCUGGCGGCAGGCCUAACACAUGCAAGUCGAGCGGUAGCACAGAGAGCUUGCUCUCGGGUGACGAGCGGCGGACGGGUGAGUAAUGUCUGGGAAACUGCCUGAUGGAGGGGGAUAACUACUGGAAACGGUAGCUAAUACCGCAUAACGUCGCAAGACCAAAGUGGGGGACCUUCGGGCCUCAUGCCAUCAGAUGUGCCCAGAUGGGAGUAGCUAGUAGGUGGGGUAAUGGCUCACCUAGG